rnacentral:rRNA from 1 species
AUUGAACGCUGGCGGCAUGCCUUACACAUGCAAGUCGAACGGUAACAGGUCUUCGGACGCUGACGAGUGGCGAACGGGUGAGUAAUGCAUCGGAACGUGCCCAGUCGUGGGGGAUAACUGCUCGAAAGAGCAGCUAAUACCGCAUACGACCUGAGGGUGAAAGCGGGGGACCGUAAGGCCUCGCGCGAUUGGAGCGGCCGAUGUCAGAUUAGCUAGUUGGCGGGGUAAAGGCCUACCAAGGCAACGAUCUGUAGUUGGUCUGAGAGGACGACCAGCCACACUGGGACUGAGACACGGCCCAGACUCCUACGGGAGGCAGCAGUGGGGAAUUUUGGACAAUGGGCGCAAGCCUGAUCCAGCAAUGCCGCGUGCAGGAAGAAGGCCUUCGGGUUGUAAACUGCUUUUGUCAGGGAAGAAAUCUUCUGGGCUAAUACCCCGGGAGGAUGACGGUACCUGAAGAAUAAGCACCGGCUAACUACGUG